rnacentral:ribozyme from 2 species
CCAAUAACUGCGCCUGUAGAUCUACAGUUACUGCCGGUUCCAAAACCGGGUAAAGGAGGAGGGUUGG